AGCAACUGGGGAGAAGAAACUAACCAGAGGUUUGGAGAUGUUUCUCAGGUUAUUUUGAGAACAGCCGAUCCGAAUGCUGAUUGAAUUGGCUUCUCACUGUAUUUGUCAAGGCUGGAACAGACGAUGGCACUGCAGAAUCUUAUGUGCACAGAAGAAAUCUACAGACAUUCAAUGAGGGGAGGAUUUCGUUCCAUCAGAUGGGCUUCCUGACAUAAUUGCAAAGACACAUGAAGACUCAACGAUUUAUCUCCCAUCAACCUCUUCUUAGUUAAUAUCAGCCCAUGUGCUCCAAGAAAACCAGAGGAAAUAUCAAGAAAGAAGAAAACAUGAGACCCUGAAAAUAAAAACCUCAACCCAGAAGGAGACCAUGAAAUAAUUCCAGUAUGUUUGCUUAAUUGUUGGGUAUUCCUGUGACAAAGAAGGCACUACUCAGCCAGCCAGAAUGCACUGACCACCACUGCAGGGUUUCAGUCACAUGAGACAUCUGGGUGAUAGAGGGAAGUGUGGGGAAUGGCUAUCAUUGAUGAGCCUGUAUGUUCUAAGUGAUCUGGGGACUAAGGCUUAUUUUUCUCCAGGCUUGUCUUAUGAAGAAGUUUUAGUCUAUUUGGAAUAGAUAAGGCUUAUACACAUAAAGUAACUGAUACUCAAUUAUAUGUAAUUAUGUUAGUUGGGGAUAAGGCUAAGCUGUGUUAUGUAGUGACUCAAAAAUGCGAUGACUCAAACAAGAUUGGAGCUUGUUUCUCUCCGGGAAUGAAUGAUCCCACACUCGGGGGCAGCUAGGCUGCUGGGAUCCAGGUUCCUUCACCUGUUGCUCUGUUAUGGUUGAAGCUGGCUUAUCCCAACCUCAUUCACAUUUCAGCCCACACAGCUAGGCAGAAGAGGGGUGAAAGUGGAGCAUGAGCAAUGCCUUUUCUUUUAUUUUUUUUAAAGUCAGUAUUAUUGCAUUAUAAUUUACAGAAAAUAAAAUACACCUAUUUUAAGUGUAUACUUUAAUGGGCUUUGGCAGAUUGCUUACACGCAUUGAACCACCACCCUAAUCAAGAUAAUGGCAUUUCCAUCAUCCCUAAACAUUUCCUCAUGCCCUUUGCAGUAAAUGCCAUCUACUCUUGGUCUAAGGUGGCUACUGAUUUGAUAUCUAUCACUACAGAUUAUUUUUGCCUGUUCUAGAAUAUCACAUAAAUGGAAUUAUAUGGCAGGUGCUUUCAGGCUGGGUGAUAUAAGUCAGGUGUCUAAGUUGUAAAUUUAAACAGACACUCACACUAAGUUUUAUGCCAGUGCUGACUCUACAAUGCACCCUGCGCCAUGCUGCAUUGUAUCUUGUUUCUUUUGCCCUGUGUAUUGUUUUUGAGAUUCAUUUAUUUUGUUAUGUGUAUCAGUGGUUCAUCAUUUUUUGUUGCUGUGUAGUAGUCUAUGUCACAAAUUCACUACAAUUUGUUUAUACGUUUGUCUACUGAUGGACGUUGUUUCCGGUUUUGGGCUUUUAUGAACAUAGCUGUCACAAACAGAUGUGUACAAGUAUUUUAGUGAACAUAUGUUUUCAUUUCUCUUGGGUAAAUACUCAGGAAUGGAAUUGCUGGAUCAUAUGGUAAGCGUGUCUUGGUAACUUCAGGAGACUGCUGAACAAUUUUUGAAAGUGAAUUUAAUACUCGAUAGUCUCAUUAGCAAUGUAUGAAAAUUCUAGUUGCUUUACAGCCUCACCAACACUAGUUAUCAUCAACGUGUUUAACUAGCUAUUCUAGUAACUAUGUUGUGAUAUCCAUUGUAGUUUUUUCCUUUUUUGUCCCCGUACCCUAAGCUCCUAUCCAUUGUAGUUUUAAUUUGCAUUGCCCUGAUGACUAGUAAUGUUAAGCAUCAUUAUAUGUGAUUAUAAGCUAUUGUAGUGUUUCGUAAAAUAUUUGUUAAAAUUUUUUGACUAUUAGAAAAAGUAGGUUGUCUUAUAUUAUUAUUGAGAUGAAAUCUUUUAAUAUUCUGAUUCAUGCUUUAUAUGACCUAAGAAAUCUUUGCAAAACUCAAAGUGUCAAAAGAUAUUCUUUUAUGUUUUCUUCUAAAAACAUAAUAAUUUUAGCUUUAAUUUAGAUCAGUUUUCCAUUUUGAGUUAAUUUUUAUAUAUGUUGAGAGAUAAGGGUUAAAGAGCAUUUUUUCCCCCUUGUAGAUAUCCAGUUGUUCUAGAACAAUUUGUUGAAAAGACUAUUUUUCCUCCAGUGAAUUACUGGCUCCUUCUUAAAAUAAAUUUUCCAUGUAUGCAUGGGUCUGUGUCUGUUCCAAUGGUCUAUAUGCCCACCUUUAUACCAAUACCAUACUAUCUUGAAUACUGUAGCAUUAUAAUCAUUCUUGAAACAAGUAGUAUAUGUCUCAAAUUUCAUUCUUUAUCAAAAUUAUUUUGGCUUCUCUGUAUUCCCAUAUGAUUUUUAGGAUCAGCUUGUCAGUUUUCAGAAAAAAAUGCUAGAAUUUAUAUUUCGAUUUGGUUAAAUGUACAGAUCAAUUGGCAGACAACUGACAUCUUAACAAUAGUAUGUCUUUUAUUCCAUGAAAAUGGUGCUUAUUACAAUCUUUAAUUUUUCUGAGCAAUGUUCUGUAGUUUUCAAUGUAUACGUCUUUGUUAAGUUUUGCUUUGUGUACUUCAUGUUUUUGCUGUUAUUUUAAAUGCAUUGUUGUAUAUGUUUGCAAUAGUUUUUUGCUCACAUAUAGAAAGGUAAUAAUUGUGUAUAUACUUUGCAUCCUGUGACCUUGCUUAAUUUAUUAAUUCUAAUAGCUAUUAAAAUAUCAUUUUAAGAGUUUUCUGUGUACAUAAUUAUGUCAUUUGUGAAUAAAGAUAGUUUACUUCUUCCUUUUGAAUCUA